UACGUAGGGGGCAAGCGUUGUCCGGAAUUAUUGGGCGUAAAGCGCGCGCAGGCGGUUUGCUAAGACAGGUGUGAAAUCCCCGGGCUUAACCUGGGAACUGCGCUUGUAACUGGCAAGCUUGAGUGUGGCAGAGGGGGGUGGAAUUCCACGUGUAGCAGUGAAAUGCGUAGAGAUGUGGAGGAACACCGAUGGCGAAGGCAGCCCCCUGGGCUAACACUGACGCUCAUGCACGAAAGCGUGGGGAGCAAACAGG
rnacentral:rRNA from 1 species